rnacentral:rRNA from 1 species
GACGAACGCUGGCGGCGUGCCUAAUACAUGCAAGUAGAACGCUGAAGGAGGAGCUUGCUUCUCCGGAUGAGUUGCGAACGGGUGAGUAACGCGUAGGUAACCUGCCUGGUAGCGGGGGAUAACUAUUGGAAACGAUAGCUAAUACCGCAUAAGAGUAGAUGUCGCAUGACAUUUGCUUAAAAGGUGUAACUGCACCACUACCAGAUGGACCUGCGUUGUAUUAGCUAGUUGGUGAGGUAACGGCUCACCAAGGCAACGAUACAUAGCCGACCUGAGAGGGGGAUCGGCCACACUGGGACUGAGACACGGCCCAGACUCCUACGGGAGGCAGCAGUAGGGAAUCUUCGGCAAUGGACGGAAGUCUGACCGAGCAACGCCGCGUGAGUGAAGAAGGUUUUCGGAUCGUAAAGCUCUGUUGUAAGAGAAGAACGAGUGUGAGAGUGGAAAGUUCACACUGUGACGGUAUCUUACCAGAAAGGGACGGCUAACUACGUG